AUUGAACGCUGGCGGCAUGCCUUACACAUGCAAGUCGAACGGCAGCACGGGGCAACCUGGUGGCGAGUGGCGAACGGGUGAGUAAUGUAUCGGAACGUGCCAUUGAGUGGGGGAUAACGUAGCGAAAGUUACGCUAAUACCGCAUAUACCCUGAGGGGGAAAGCAGGGGAUCGCAAGACCUUGUGCUCUUUGAGCGGCCGAUAUCAGAUUAGCUAGUUGGGGAGGUAAAGGCUCACCAAGGCGACGAUCUGUAGCGGGUCUGAGAGGAUGAUCCGCCACACUGGGACUGGGACACGGCCCAGACUCCUACGGGAGGCAGCAGUGGGGAAUUUUGGACAAUGGGCGCAAGCCUGAUCCAGCCAUGCCGCGUGGGUGAAGAAGGCCUUCGGGUUGUAAAGCUCUUUCGGCCGGGAAGAAAUCGUACAGGUUAAUACCCUGUGUGGAUGACGGUACCGGAAUAAGAAGCACCGGCUAACUACGUGCCAGCCGCCGCUGUAAAAC
rnacentral:rRNA from 1 species